AAUAGAUACCCUGGUAGUCCACGCCGUAAACGAUGAGUGCUAAGUGUUAGGGGGUUUCCACCCCUUAGUGCUGCAGCUAACGCAUUAAGCACUCCGCCUGGGGAGUACGGUCGCAAGACUGAAACUCAAAGGAAUUGACGGGGGCCCGCACAAGCGGUGGAGCAUGUGGUUUAAUUCGAAGCAACGCGAAGAACCUUACCAGGUCUUGACAUCCCGCUGACCGCUAUGGAGACAUAGCCUUCCCUUCGGGGACAGCGGUGACAGGUGGUGCAUGGUUGUCGUCAGCUCGUGUCGUGAGAUGUUGGGUUAAGUCCCGCAACGAGCGCAACCCUUGUCCUUAGUUGCCAUCAUUCAGUUGGGCACUCUAAGGAGACUGCCGUACAAAUACGGAGGAAGGUGGGGAUGACGUCAAAUCAUCAUGCCCCUUAUGACCGUGGGCUACACACGUGCUACAAUGGACGGUAACAAACGGUCGCGAAGUCGCGAGACGGAGCCAAUACCGAAAAAACCGUUACUCAGUUCGGAUUGCAGGCUGCAACUCCG
rnacentral:rRNA from 1 species